GUGACCCCCAUCCCUGGGCAGCUGUGCCAGCACCGGGCUCUCCCUUUUCCUCCCUUCUUGCCCUUCAUGUUCCCCCAUUGCUGACAGAGCUCUCCCAUGUCUCCAUUUCUCUGUCCUCUCCUAUUUGUAGAAUCAUAGAAUCAUUAAGGUCAGAAGAGACCUCUGAGGUCACCAGGUCCAACCCCAACCCGUCCCCACCAUGCCCACCCACCACGUCCCUCAGUGCCACAUCUACCCUUAAGAAUUCCAUCACUCUCACACUGAAUCUCCAGUCCUGCUUCACCCCUCAGCAGCAGCAGCAGAAUUCCCUCCUCUUCUCCCCAGUCCUCCCCGAAAUCCCCAGUUUCCCUCUCUGAGCACCCAGCACUGUUGGUGCUCUGAGCCGCUGCCCGCCGCGCCAGCCGGGAUUCUCUCUGCCUCUUUGUGCUCCUCUCCCCAACAGAUUGUCUCCAUCUGCCGUCUCUUGCCUUGCAGUUAAAUCGUGAGCCCUCUGAAGCGAGAGCCGUAGUGCCGUGCUGCGUUUCUGUAGCACCUACAGAAAGGAGAUCUUCCUUCAAAGGUGCUUCUGCAAAAUGGCUUCUAAUUAAUGCAACAACGGCGAAUAGUAGGCAGCGGUCUGAGCAACGCUCAGAGAACAUCGUAUCGAGAGCUGAGAGCAUGAAUCAAGAAGUGAGGGGGAGCAAAAGAAGCACAAAGCCAGGUGCAAAGUGCAAAGCAGACAUUUUCAAAAGGCUUUUUUUAUUUAAUGCACUGAAAACCUUAAAUGCUGGGGCCCUUCUUUGGGCAGCCCUCCUUGCCCAGCACACCAACAUGCUGUCCCCUGCUCCUUCCCCUCAGUGCUGCUCGCUAUUUCCAUCUCCGUUUUGCUGUGGCCCUUCUGACCUCCCCACAUGCCUGUGCUCUCCCGUAGCUGUCCCUGGUAAUCUGACCCAGUUCCCACUUUCUCUAAACCUUUUUUUCAAGCUCAAGCUCAGCACUGAGUUUGUGGUGUAGCUUCCCACCACGCUUCCUUUCGGGAUCGCUCGUAGCGGUGCCAUUCACAUCGUUCCUUUGAAGAGCUGCCAGUUUCCUUCUUCCCUUCACCUUUUCCCAUCACAGCUUUCACAGCGUUGCUCUGCGUUUCUCAGCCCGCCUCCCCGGGGUCCUUGUCCUCCAUUACCUCUCCACGUUGGCCAUGGCCAUGGUGCUCCCACCUCCCACUUCAGCCCCCUCCAUCUUCUGACUUUGUCCCAGCAGAACCAGGACCAGCCCCAGUUACACCAGCACCAGUUCCAGUAAGACCAGCACCAACACCAGCCCGGCAGCAUGGAACACACCAAGAACUGGGCCGCUGUGCUCAGAGCCAUCACGAGAGCCCUGCCAGCAUCCACAAACACACGCACAGCUGUUCUUCCCCACGCUGAGCGUUUUACCGUCCACCCAGCUAAGAGGAUUUUGCUUUUCUCUUCUCUCUAAACCCAAUGCAGGUUCAGUGUAAUACCGGGCCCAUUCUGCUGCAGUGAGGCUGAGAGCAAUGGGGUAAGUGGUGCUAUUUCCCCCAGCACCGACAUCCCCACACUCUGCAGCACCGCAUGGGGCUCCCACUGCACCCUGCAAGCCAAGAUCUGGCCCAGCCUUGGUAGGAGGCAGGAGGACUAUAUGGGACACGUGUCCUCCCCAGUGUGUCUCAGCGUCACUGGGAGCUGCAUGGAGGUGGAUGAGGUCCCGCAGCUCCCAGGGACAGAAUCAUAGAAUCCUAGAAUAUCCCGAGUUGGAAGGGACCUACAGGGAUCGUUGAGUCCAACCCCUGACUCCAAAAGGGACCACCCAAAAAUCGGACCAUAAACGGGUCUGAUGAGAGGGGUUGGCUUUGGGAUCGGUUCCACAUACAUGACCUCCUUAUCCUGUACAUCAUUGGGACUGCUUUGUCUCAGGCAGCCCAAGAGAAGAAAGGAUCCUUGUCCUGGGGUCACAGCUCCCAUCCCAGUACGUGUCCACAGGAGAAAAUGGGACAGCGGAGAGAGGAGGACAAACACGGUGCCUGUGCCAAUCCCUCUGUGCCAGGGCUGCUCCCCUCCCCGCCAGCCAACCAAGCAUUUAAUCUAACAGCCAUCCCCCGCCCCGCUGUAUAAAGGCAAUUUGAGUGAGGCUCUGUGCGUGAGAGGAGGCAAAUUCCUCCAUGGGGCCAUGAAACUGGACAGAGCCUGGGGCUGUCCCUGCGCUGUGGGGACAUCACCGUGCUGCUCCGUUCUCCAGUGAGUGCAGAGCUGACAGCAAGAGGGAAACGGAGGCACAACGGUGGAUGCAGAGCCCCGAGUCCCAUCAGUGCCACCAAAGGAAUUUUCCAAAGUGAAGGCAUGGUUUGGAGCUAUCAACAUGAUGGGAGCUGCAGCGUGCAUGGAAAAUGGGAUUCUCCGUGGGUCUGAGCUGCCUGGGGAGUGAGUUCCCACUGGGGACACGGGGCUGCCGUCCCCUCCAGCAUCCUGCAGGCAGGUGGGGACAGACAGUGGUGACACCACCACGAG
rnacentral:lncRNA from 1 species